AUAUGGCUAUGAUGAUUGUUUUUAAAGCUCCAAUGCCAGUUCUGCUUCAGAGAAUUCAUGAUAGAUAGAGCUUAUUGUUGUCUGAGCCUUUA